GGGAGCCCCGCCUGCUUGCCCAACCCGGCCGGGUCUGGCCCCAAGGGGUCCCGUCGCCCGCCUUCUAUCCCCGCCUCCUGCCCUCGGGCUAGGGUGCCGCUAGCCGAGGUGCGCCCGGACGCCCUGCCACCCCAGCGCCCUCUGAGCCCGGAGCUAGCCGAGAAUGACUCGCACCUCUGGGGAUGAAGAAAAUGCACAUGUGAGCACGUGGGUACUUGGCGACCCGGAGAUCUCUGCAAACUGCAGGCCCAGCGAGAUGGCCUCAGCACGCCCUGCACCCUCGUCCGCGCGACUGCCGCCGGGUGCCCGCCCCAGCCGCUGUGUCCCUGGUGCUUCCUCCGCCAGGGCCACGUGCCGGGGAAGCCAAAGCGGGAGUCUUUCGAUCUUGGCCCAGCCCUUAGCCCUCGGUCCUUUGCUCUAGCAUCUAGAUUCUCGUGGGUCAACAAAGUCACUGGAAACCCAACGAACUUCCCGACAUUUUUCGAAAACCGUAUGCGUGUGCUUCUGUGCGUUUUUCCUCUGAUCGAGGUAGGGCCCUGUAGGGUUCUGUUUGGACGGGAGGCUGGAGUGGUUCCUUCCCGGCUGCGGGGUCGGAGGAUGCAGAGAUUCGAAAGAAGGAGAAACACAGAGACUGUCAAAUGAAAGGAGAUUCUGUCUUCGGAAUCGACCCAGCUCUUUAAAAGAAUGAGGAAAACAUGGGGUCUUUAUAUAUCCUGGAAAGUCGCCUAGGCGUUCAGUGAAAAACGCAAAAGGCACGUGGAUUCCUAUUUGUGUAAAAAUAUAAAUGGGGCAGGGGGUUAAACAUCAGGUUUUUUCUGCACGAAAGGUCUCAGCGCAGAGGGUUGGAGAUUUUUCUUUUCAUUGUAUGUCUUUCGGGACUGUUCGAAGCCAAUGUGUGUUGCUUACCAUAUUCUUGCAUUGAAUUUUCAAUUAAAAAAAGAAACUGCAGG
rnacentral:lncRNA from 1 species